CCUACGGGUGACAGCAGUGAGGAAUAUUGGUCAAUGGACGAGAGUCUGAACCAGCCAAGUAGCGUGAAGGAUGACUGCCCUAUGGGUUGUAAACUUCUUUUAUAUGGGAAUAAAACGUUCCACGUGUGGGAUUUUGUAUGUACCAUAUGAAUAAGGAUCGGCUAACUCCGUGCCAGCAGCCGCGGUAAUACGGAGGAUCCGAGCGUUAUCCGGAUUUAUUGGGUUUAAAGGGAGCGUAGGUGGAUUGUUAAGUCAGUUGUGAAAGUUUGCGGCUCAACCGUAAAAUUGCAGUUGAAACUGGCAGUCUUGAGUACAGUAGAGGUGGGCGGAAUUCGUGGUGUAGCGGUGAAAUGCUUAGAUAUCACGAAGAACUCCGAUUGCGAAGGCAGUUCACUGGACUGCAACUGACACUGAGGCUCGAAAGUGUGGGUAUCAAACAGGAUUAGAUACCCUAGUGUC
rnacentral:rRNA from 1 species